UUUGAUAUGCAUUUAUAAUUUAAUACUUGAAAUAGCUUCCUUAAUGUUUGUUUCAUCUCAGAGCUUGAUUAACAUAGGAUUCUUGCAUCAAGAUGAAUGUUAAAGACAAAAAGGAGAUUUUUUCAGAUAUGCAUGAAGAUUUCACUUCUGAGUAAUGUGGCAUAGUUGAUGGAAUAAGUUCAAGAACACUCAAUCCCCAUAGGUUGAUUCUCUGCCACUCGGAUGAGGAAAGAGCCACCACUCACUUCUCUCCAUGCAGCUGCCAAGAGCCAAUGGUCGAGUAGAAGCAGGGACGCUUGAAAUCACCAUGAGAAUCCUCUCCAAUCUUAAAAUAAUACUACGAAAUGAAUACAGGAGUGAAAGAACCAACAAGACGACAGAGUGAAGCAAGUUUCAAGAAGAGAAUAACCUGAAAGUUAGGCAGAGACUAUCUGGGGCACUAGGGUAAGAGGUGAGUUCAGCCAGAAGGAAUCUACAACAAAGAGUCUAGUGUUGGGCCCAAGUCAAACAUCAAGACCCUGAGACCAUGCCUGGACCAAUAGUCCUCCAACCCAAAGCACACCCUUUAAAGUUCCAAGAAAUACCAAAAGUCUGAAAUUCCAGCCCAGGGCAAUCUGUUCUGUGUAGACUGAUUCAUGUAGGCCCAGAGCUAGACCAUGAAACCCAACUUGGGCUUGUGGUGAGGACAUAGAUCCCAGUUUGGUGUAGUACUUAGAACUGCAGCUAGACCCUUUGAAAACUGACAGGGACAGUCCCCAGGGUGCUAUCUUGGUAGUGGCUAACCCUUCCCAAAAGCUCAGAAUAGUAUGUUGUGUGCCUGACCUGAUCAAACCCAGAGUAAGACCAAAAGCUUAUGCCCAAACCCAAGGCUAGAAUUUGAUGAUUAUCUGUGAAAACUUGGCUAUUCUCACCAAUGCACUGAUCUAGGACAAUCCAGAAAGACUUAUGACAGGGAAUACCAUCCACCUCCAGAGAAAGAACUGUUUGAGUCAUCUUUCACAUCAGUAUAUCUUUUAUCUUAUUUGGGGUUCUGGUCAUAUAUGAGUGUGCUCUUACAAUAAUGACCAAUAUAGAAGAGUUGAUAAAUUGUUUUAAAAAAAGUCCCUAGACAUUGGUAUUUAAUAUUUCUUGGUAAUAUCUCUCAUUUUUGUCCAUUUAAAAUUUUAUUCUAAAAAAAUUUCCCAUGUAUUAUUUUAUUCUUCCAAACACAAAAUUUGUGAACUAAAUAGGACAGAUUUUAUUUCUCUAAUCUCAUAUUCAGUGGUUUUCUUAAUUUCAAAUUAGUGGUAGAGAUGAGAUUAGGAACUACAUCUUCUUGACAACCAGUGCAAUGCUUUUUUCCUGAGGUCAGGAUGAAAUUUUCUAUUAUUAUUUGGGAAGUUUUU
rnacentral:lncRNA from 1 species